rnacentral:rRNA from 1 species
UACAGAGGUCUCAAGCGUUGUUCGGAUUCAUUGGGCGUAAAGGGGGCGUAGGCGGCGCGGUAAGUCGGGUGUGAAAUCUUGGAGCUUAACUCCGAAACUGCAUUCGAUACUGCCGUGCUUGAGGACUGGAGAGGAGACUGGAAUUUACGGUGUAGCGGUGAAAUGCGUAGAUAUCGUAAGGAAGCCCAGUGGCGAAGGCGGGUCUCUGGACAGUUCCUGACGCUGAGGCACGAAGGCCAGGGGAGCAAACGGG